GAUGAAGAACGUAGCGAAAUGCGAUAAGUAGUGUGAAUUGCAGAAUUCAGUGAAUCAUCGAAUCUUUGAACGCACAUUGCGCCUCCUGGUAUUCCGGGAGGCAUGCCUGUUCGAGCGUCAUUAAAAUCACUCAAGCUUAGGUUUACCUAUUGCUUGGUCUUGGAGAUGGAAGCCAAUUUAUUGGAAUCCUCUUCGAAAUUCAAUGGCGAAGACCCUUGCUCUCCCAAGUGUAGUAAUAACUUAUGUCACUGAAGGAAGCGAGAAAUCUUCUGCCGUAACCCCCAUAUUUUCUAUGAUUGACCUCGGAUCAGGUAGGGAUACCCGCUGAACUUAAGCAUAUCAAUUAAGCGGAGGA
rnacentral:misc_RNA from 1 species